UGUGACCUCAAAUCAGGUAGGACUACCCGCUGAACUUAAGCAUAUCAAUAAGCGGAGGAAAAGAAACUAACAAGGAUUCCCCUAGUAACUGCGAGUGAAGCGGGAAAAGCUCAAAUUUAAAAUCUGGCAGUUUUUUGGCUGUCCGAGUUGUAAUCUAGAGAAGUGUUAUCCGCGCUGGACCGUGUACAAGUCUCCUGGAAUGGAGCAUCAUAGAGGGUGAGAAUCCCGUCUUUGACAUGGACUGCCAGGGCUUUUGUGAUGCGCUCUCAAAGAGUCGAGUUGUUUGGGAAUGCAGCUCAAAAUGGGUGGUAAAUUCCAUCUAAAGCUAAAUAUUGGCGAGAGACCGAUAGCGAACAAGUACCGUGAGGGAAAGAUGAAAAGAACUUUGGAAAGAGAGUUAAACAGUACGUGAAAUUGCUGAAAGGGAAACGCUUGAAGUCAGUCGCGUCGUCCAGGGAUCAACCUUGCUUUUGCUUGGUGCACUUCCUGGUUUGACGGGUCAGCAUCAAUUUUGACCAUUGGAAAAAGGUCGAGGGAAUGUGGCAUCUUUGGAUGUGUUUAUAGCCCUUGGUCGCAUACAAUGGUUUGGGAUUGAGGAACUCAGCACGCCGCAAGGCCGGGUUUUAAACCACGUACGUGCUUAGGAUGCUGACAUAUAUAAUGGCUUUAAUCGACCCGUCUUGAAACACGGACCAAGGAGUCUAACAUGCCUGCGAGUGUUUGGGUGAAAAACCCGAGCGCGUAAUGAAAGUGAAAAGUUGAGAUCCCUGUCGUGGGGAGCAUCGACGCCCGGACCAGACCUUUUGUGACGGUUCCGCGGUGGAGCAUGUAUGUUGGGACCCGAAAGAUGGUGAACUAUGCCUGAAUAGGGUGAAUCCAGAGGAAACUCUGGUGGAGGCUCGUAGCGAUUCUGACGUGCAAAUCGAUCGUCAAAUUUGGGUAUAGGGGCGAAAGACUAAUCGAAC
rnacentral:rRNA from 1 species